GAGUUUGAUCCUGGCUCAGAUUGAACGCUGGCGGCAUGCCUAACACAUGCAAGUCGAACGGUAACAGGCCGCGGUGAUCCCUUCGGGGUGAACCUGGCGCUGACGAGUGGCAGACGGGUGAGUAACGCACAGGAAUUUGCCCGGUAGUGGGGGAUAGCUCGGAGAAACUCGAAUUAAUACCGCAUACCCUCUACGGAGGAAAGCCGGGGACCUUUUCGGAGGCCCGGCGCUACCGGAUAAGCCUGUGUCUGAUUAGCUUGUUGGUGAGGUAACGGCCCACCAAGGCGACGAUCAGUAGCUGGUCUGAGAGGACGAUCAGCCACACUGGGACUGAGACACGGCCCAGACUCCUACGGGAGGCAGCAGUGAGGAAUAUUGGACAAUGGGCGCAAGCCUGAUCCAGCAAUGCCGCGUGUGUGAAGAAGGCCUGCGGGUUGUAAAGCACUUUCAGCAAGGGAAGAAAAGCCGCGCGCGAAUACCGCGCGGUCCUGACAUGCCCUGCAGAAGAAGCACCGGCUAAUUCCCGUGCCAGCAGCCGCGGUAAUACGGAAAGGUGCAAGCGUUAAUCGGAAUUACUGGGCGUAAAGCGCACGUAGGCGGUUUGAUUAGUCGGAUGUGAAAUCCCCGGGCUUAACCUGGGAACUGCGUUCGAUACUGUCAAAACUGGAGUGCAGUAGAGGGAAGCGGAAUUCCGGGAGUAGCGGUGAAAUGCGUAGAUAUCCGGAGGAACAUCAGUGGCGAAGGCGGCUUCCUGGUCUGUUACUGACGCUGAGGUGCGAAAGCAUGGGGAGCAAAACAGGAUUAGAUACCCCUGGUAGUCCAUGCCGUAAAACGAUGUCAAACUAGCUGUUUGAGGUGCUCUAAGCCUUGAGUAGCGCAGCCAACGCGAUAAGUUGACCGCCUGGGGAGUACGGCCCGCAAGGUUGAAACUCAAAGGAAUUGACGGGGGCCCGCACAAGCGGUGGAGCAUGUGGUUUAAUUCGAUGCAACGCGAAGAACCUUACCUGCCCUUGACAUCCUGCGAAUCUUUCAGAGAUGAGAGAGUGCCUUCGGGAGCGCAGUGACAGGUGCUGCAUGGCUGUCGUCAGCUCGUGUCGUGAGAUGUUGGGUUAAGUCCCGUAACGAGCGCAACCCCUGCCCUCAGUUGCCAGCGCGUCAUGGCGGGAACUCUGGGGGGACUGCCGGUGACAAGCCGGAGGAAGGUGGGGAUGACGUCAAGUCAUCAUGGCCCUUAUGGGCAGGGCUACACACGUGCUACAAUGGCCGGCACAGAGGGCUGCGAACUCGCGAGAGUCAGCCAAUCCCAGAAAACCGGUCUUAGUCCGGAUUGGAGUCUGCAACUCGACUUCAUGAAGUCGGAAUCGCUAGUAAUCGCGGAUCAGAAUGCCGCGGCGAAUACGUUCCCGGGCCUUGUACACACCGCCCGUCACACCAUGGGAGUGGGCUGUACCAGAAGUGGCUAGUCUAACCUUCGGGGGGACGGUUACCACGGUAUGGUUCAUGACUGGGGUGAAGUCGUAACAAGGUAACCGUA
rnacentral:rRNA from 1 species